rnacentral:rRNA from 1 species
GACGAACGCUGGCGGCGUGCUUAACACAUGCAAGUCGAACGGAAAGGCCCUGCUUUUGUGGGGUGCUCGAGUGGCGAACGGGUGAGUAACACGUGAGUAACCUGCCCUUGACUUUGGGAUAACUUCAGGAAACUGGGGCUAAUACCGGAUAGGAGCUCCUGCUGCAUGGUGGGGGUUGGAAAGUUUCGGCGGUUGGGGAUGGACUCGCGGCUUAUCAGCUUGUUGGUGGGGUAGUGGCUUACCAAGGCUUUGACGGGUAGCCGGCCUGAGAGGGUGACCGGCCACAUUGGGACUGAGAUACGGCCCAGACUCCUACGGGAGGCAGCAGUGGGGAAUAUUGCACAAUGGGCGGAAGCCUGAUGCAGCAACGCCGCGUGCGGGAUGACGGCCUUCGGGUUGUAAACCGCUUUCGCCUGUGACGAAGCGUGAGUGACGGUAAUGGGUAAAGAAGCACCGGCUAACUACGUGCCAGCAGCCGCGGUGAUACGUAGGGUGCGAGCGUUGUCCGGAUUUAUUGGGCGUAAAGGGCUCGUAGGUGGUUGAUCGCGUCGGAAGUGUAAUCUUGGGGCUUAACCCUGAGCGUGCUUUCGAUACGGGUUGACUUGAGGAAGGUAGGGGAGAAUGGAAUUCCUGGUGGAGCGGUGGAAUGCGCAGAUAUCAGGAGGAACACCAGUGGCGAAGGCGGUUCUCUGGGCCUUUCCUGACGCUGAGGAGCGAAAGCGUGGGGAGCGAACAGGCUUAGAUACCCUGGUAGUCCACGCUGUAAACGGUGGGUACUAGGUGUGGGGUCCAUUCCACGGGUUCCGUGCCGUAGCUAACGCUUUAAGUACCCCGCCAGGGGAGUACGGCCGCAAGGCUAAAACUCAAAGGAAUUGACGGGGCCCCGCACAAGCGGCGGAGCAUGCGGAUUAAUUCGAUGCAACGCGUAGACCCUUACCUGGGUUUGACAUGGAUCGGGAGUGCUCAGAGAUGGGUGUGCCUCUUUUGGGGUCGGUUCACAGGUGGUGCAUGGCUGUCGUCAGCUCGUGUCGUGAGAUGUUGGGUUAAGUCCCGCAACGAGCGCAACCCUUGUUCACUGUUGCCAGCACGUUAUGGUGGGGACUCAGUGGAGACCGCCGGGGUCAACUCGGAGGAAGGUGGGGAUGACGUCAAGUCAUCAUGCCCCUUAUGUCCAGGGCUUCACGCAUGCUACAAUGGCUGGUACAGAGAGUGGCGAGCCUGUGAGGGUGAGCGAAUCUCGGAAAGCCGGUCUCAGUUCGGAUUGGGGUCUGCAACUCGACCUCAUGAAGUCGGAGUCGCUAGUAAUCGCAGAUCAGCAACGCUGCGGUGAAUACGUUCCCGGG